UACGUAGGGGGGCAAGCGUUGUCCGGAUUUAUUGGGCGUAAAGAGCGUGUAGGCGGCCAUACAGGUCAGCUGUGAAAACUCGAGGCUCAACCUCGAGACGUCGGUUGAAACCGUAUGGCUAGAGUCCGGAAGAGGAGAGUGGAAUUCCCGGUGUAGCGGUGAAAUGCGCAGAUAUCGGGAAGAACACCUAUGGCGAAGGCAGCUCUCUGGGACGGUACUGACGCUGAGACGCGAAAGUGUGGGGAGCAAACAGG
rnacentral:rRNA from 1 species